ACUGGUCAAGGAUGAAAACCUAUCUCUGUGGACAUCAUUGGAUGAUAGAUGCGGAUAUGGGACUGAGACCAGUU
rnacentral:snoRNA from 12 species